UUUUUUUUUUUUUUUUUUUAAUCCAUGUGAGACACAGAGAGAGGCAGAGGGGAAGAUGACACACAAAUUCAUGAAUAACAUGGACUUAACUAUAGAAGCCCACUUAAACACAGAUUAUUUAUAGUGUGAUAAGUGUAUUUUUCUUAUAAUUUUCUUUUCUCUAGGUGACAUUAUUGUAAGAACACAGUAUAUAAUACAUGUAACAUACAAGAUAUGUGUUAAUUGACUAUUCAUAGUUAAGCCUCCAGUCAACAGUAGGCUAUUAGUUGUUAAGUUUUGGGGGAGUCGAAAGUCCUAUGCAGAUUUUUGGCUCCACAGGGGUUGGCACUCAUAACCCCUGCAUUGUGUGAGGGUCAACUGUGGUCAUACAAAGAAAACUACUAUGAAGAAAUAAAUCCCUUUCAAAGGCACUAGGUUAUAAGAAAAUAAAUGGAGUGAUGUAAAAAAAAUUAAAAGUUUGUCUCUCCAGAAUCAUUAGUGAUUGAAUUAAGGUAUGCAGAGUUUUCAGAGAGCUGCAAGUAUAUCCUUUAACACAGAUUUAAAACAAAUUUAACCAUCUAGGGGCCCCUGAGUGGCUCAGUUAAUUGAGUGCCCAACUCUUAAUUUCAGCUCAGGUCAUAACCUCAGGGUCGUGAGAUCAUGCCCUGAGUUGGGACCCCAGCAUGGAGCCUGCUUAAGAUUCUCUCUCCCUCUUCCCGCACCCGUGUGUGCACUCUCUAAAAAAAAAAAAUUAACCAUCUUGAAUGCAAAUAUUUCUAAAAUCUACUGUAUAUCAUUUUGACUUCUUAAAUGUGCUUAUUCUUAAAAGUUUAUGAUAAGAAACAUUGUGCAAUGAUUUACAAACUUCAACAUGAGAUCAGGUGGUAGGUUGACUGAUAAGAAUCAUUUGGGAUGCCUCAUAAAAAAUAUAGAGGGGUUGCCUGGGUGGCUCAGUGGUUAAGCAUCUGCCUUUGCUCAGGGUGUGAUCCUGGAGUCCUGGGAUGGAGUCCCACAGCAGGUUCCCCUUGAGGAGGUUGCUUCUUCCUCUGCCUGUGUUUCUGCCUCUUUCUCUGUAUCUCUCAUGAAUAAAUAAAAUCUUAAAUAUAUAUAUAGAGAUUGGGGGGUGAAGAUUCUGAUUUUCUAGGGCAGGAGUAAAGCACAGAAACCUGUGCUUUUUAAAAACUUUCUCAGGUGAUUCUGAUUCAGAGCCAGUUUCAUCAACCGACUAUAAGAGAAAGAACACUUGCUUAACUAUUAGUAUUCAGGUAGCUUUAUUUGUAAUAGUUGCCCAUGUCUCAAUACACAUUGAUUUGGCAUCUAAUAUGUCCUAAUAUUCAACACUGAAAAUGGGCUUUGGUAUAUAAAGAUGAAUAAAACAUGGUCUGUCAAAGAGUUCAUAUUCAAAUAGGGGAGCCAAAUACAUAAUUAUGGUACAGUGAAUCAAUCCAAUAACAGGAUGCCAUGAAAAACAAUCACUGGACAGUGAAAGACAUCUUAUUCUAGCCAGAGCUUCCUGGAGGAGACGGCAUCUGAGGUGAAUCCUAAAGAUUGAGAUAUUAGCCAAGUGAAUUUGGAGUGAGAAUGAGAAGGGAGAAGUGGGCAAUGUACUAAGUCUCCCCCUAAUUAUACAUAUAGUAUCAGGAGUUGAUAGAAAGCAGGGAAGGAGCAGACAGCAGUUCGGAGUUCAUCUUGCAGGAAGCGGAAAGCUGCUGUAACAUAAAGUCACAGAGUGUCACUAUCAGACUUGCAUUUCAGUCAGAUGUUCUUGGCUGGAUAAGUGGUAUAUAAUUUUAAGAAGGUUAAGAAAUGGAAGGAGAAAGAGGAUUUAGGUAUCUAUGGAAGAAUUCCAUGUAUGAUAUAUCAGAGAUCUGAUAAAGGCAGUGAAAAUUGACAUGGAAAAGGGAAUACAAAUUUGAGAAAAAUGGAGGCAAAAAGACAAGAUGAUUGAUUAGAUGGGUAUGGCAGGUGGGGAGGAUAGAAAAGGAUUGGGAAGGAAAACAGAUCCAAGGAUGACUCCACCCAUUUGCAAGACUGUACGGCAAGUAACUUAUUCUAAGUGUCAUUAAUAAAACGUGGAGCCUAGGCGUGCCUGGUGGCUCAGUUGGUUAGGUGGUCAGCUCUUGAUUUCUGCUCAGAUCAUGAUCUCAGGGUCUGGGGAUCAAGCCACACGUUGGGCUCCCCUCUGAGCAGGGAGUCUGCUUGAGAUUCUGUCUUUUUGUCCCUCUGCCCCUCCCUCUGCUCUCUCUCUCUCAAAUAAAUAAUCUUUAAAAAAAUAAAAUAAAAAUAUGGAAUCUAGAUGGCCUUUAAGAGAACUUCUAUUCUAAAAGCCUAUGAAUCACUAUAAUACAGAUUACUGUAUGAUUAAAUGAUAUCCUCAAAGCUUCUUAAAGUUGACCUUACAUUAAGUGACUCCUGGACAUUUUAAGUUCACAUACCUAUUUGCUAAGUUCUCUCUUGGUUAUUUUAUCAGCUGUAAUAGUAGCUGCUGACAACAUGCCUGCUUCCAACAGUUCUUCUCUCUUCUAAGUUUUCUAUUUCAUAUGUAUACUGUAGGUAUGGAGUCUAGGUAACUAAUCUCCCUCUCUUCUGAACUACAUAGCACUUCAUUUGUAAUUCCCUAUGACAUUUCUUCAUUCCACAGUGCUUUUUCUCUUGGUUGUAUAAAUGUUUUAUGUGCCUUGUAAAGGUUAAAGCAACUAAGAAUAAAAACGGGUCUCAAAAAAAAAAAAAAACAGGUCUCCAUAUUCUUUGUGCACUUUUCCCAUAAGUGACCCCAUACACAAUCACACUGCAUACAGAACUUAAAUAAUCCAUUAGGUAUCUUUUUGCACCAAAAUUGUUAAAAUUGUGAAUACAUUAUAAAUCAACAGGCUGAGGAUCCAAGCAGCAUUUUUUUUUCCCUCAGUAGAGGUACUAUAAUGUUCAAAAGAUUUAAUAGUUUUUCAGGUUUUUGCUUAGUUCCUUAUUCCUGUGUUCUGCAUAGAUAAUAUUAAGAGUCAGAGAUACAAAAUAGAAAAAACAUCAUUAGCACAGAAAAAACUGAAGAUACUCAAGUGCAAUUUAAGAAAAGAAGCAACUAUCAAAAAAAUAAACAGAGGCAGCCCCUGGUUUUGCACAUAAUGAAUUGCUAUAAUUCUAUGUGAGGGUUAAAUAUUUACAUUUUUGUUACAAAAAUCCUUUAGAUCCACACAUCUCAUUAGUGUAAUUUGAAAAUAUAUAUCUACCAGUUUGUGUCAACUUUUUACUCUUGUCUUCCCUGAUAAUUGUACCUCACAGAUGAACUGAACAAAUUAAAGCUAAAUAGUGUGUUGUCGAUGCCAAAACUCUGCCAUGAGGGACAUGCCUGAUGAUUUUGACCUUUGUCAAUUACAAUUAACUUUAUGAGGCCCAUACAUACUUAUAAAUGUCUCAACAGAACUUUUAUUUUUCUAGCACAGUGCCUCUUUUAUCUAUUAAAAUGUUAUAUCAAAAUUCAAUUGAAUAGAUAAUUGAAUAAUUAAUAAUAAUUGAAUUGAUAAUUGUCACUUGUUCCAAAAAAGAAUGCAGUGGGGCCAAACUAAUCUAUUGACCCUCUUCCUCUAAUGCCUCGAAAGAAUCAUUCUCCAGCUGCUGAACAUCAGAGUACACAUUUUAUUUAUAAAAUAUGUCAAUUAAUAUGUCAAUUAAUAUGUAGAAAGUGCAAGUUGGAAAAACUCUAAGAAAUUGUGAGUUAACAACUGCCUACAAUUUGAAUAUUUAAGAAGGUAAGGAAUCACUGAAUUUUUAUUUUUAAUUUUUUUUAGAUUUUGCUUACUCAUUCAUGAGAGACAUAGAAAGGCAGAGACAUAGGCAGAGGGAGAAGCAGGCUCUUUGUGGGGAGCCUGAUGAGUGACUUGAUCCCAGGACCAGAGGAUCAUGACCUGAGUCAAAGGCAUUCAGCCACUGAGCCACCCAGGUGCUCCAAUUUUUUUUCUUUUUUCAAUCGAUAAUAUGUCC
rnacentral:lncRNA from 1 species